GUCGAGAAUCUUCCGCAAUGCGCGAAAGCGUGACGGAGCGACACCGCGCGAUGGAUGAAGUCCUUCGGGGCGUAAACAUCUUUUAUAAAGGAGGAAAUUUUUGACGUUACUUUAUGAAUAAGGGGCUCCCAAUCUCGUGCCAGCAGGAGCGGUAAUACGAGAGCCUCAAGCGUUAUCCGGAAUCAUUGGGCGUAAAGGGUGCGUAGGUGGUUUGAUUAGUCUCCCGUUAAAACUUCGAGCUUAACUCGAAAAGAGCGGGGGAAACGGUCAAACUAGAGUAUGUGAGAGGUGUGUGGAACUCAUGGUGUAGGGGUGAAAUCCGUUGAUAUCAUGGGGAACACCAAAAGCGAAGGCAGCACACUGGCACAUCACUGACACUGAGGCACGAAACCUAAGGUAGCGAAUGGGAUUAGAAACCCUGGUAGUCC
rnacentral:rRNA from 1 species